GUUACUUUGAGAACUGCCCCCCAAAUCUCUGGCUAAAGAAUUUGGUUAUCUUUCCAGCUGUUCUGAGCAACCAUAACUCGGAUGACUUGUCUUCUCCUCCCUGGGUGAAAAAUGAAGUUUGAAAGACCGUUCAUUACCUUCUUGGUAUGUGUUGACUCUGCUGAUUCUUCAUCUGCCAAAGUGGAUACCCUGGCUUCUGUCUCAUCCACAGACUUCUGAUCAUGAAUUACAUUCCCGAAAAGAGCGACAUGGCAAGAGUUAUCGUUUUCUUUCGGGCCUGGAGGAAGUUCUAUCUUUCUGAGAGACAACCCAGGGAAGGCUUGCUAAUCAUUCAUUUUGGUUUCAAAAUUCACCGUUGUCAAUAUCAUUAAUUAGGUGCAUUAUACAGAAGUCAGGUAGCUUAUGGAGAAGUACGAGCAUUCGCAGUAGAGGAAGAA